ensembl:snRNA sls-2.10 ncRNA
GGUUUAAAACCCAGUUACCAAGGUAAUUCGGAGUUCUGACCUUUCGAAAGAAAGCGUCUUUUACAAUAAAUUUUGGAUUAGUUCAGUCGGGGUUUCCGGCUGAACAAAA